GGUCAAUACCUUUUAGUUGGCUCUCCCUAUUUGAUUUCCAGAAGUAAAAAAAAACAUUCCUUUGUCUGAUUUCCAUUAUUUAUUUUUGAUCCGCUCCAUGUCUAAGUUUGUAAUGGGUUUUUCUUUUGUUCAGCUCCCGAGCAACAGUAUUUAGUUGUCUUGCUGGGGAAUGUAAAUGUCGACAAAAACAAGCAUCAUUCUGGGUUAUUGGAUCUGAAUCAACUCGACCCCAAAAGAUGAAAAGAAGCGAGAAAGACUGCUCAUGACCAAUCCAGAAAACAGAUAAACAAUGGAGUUCAUUUUAAAAUGUGGAAUAGCGCCGCCGAAAUGGCCCCCGUUCCCAUGGAUUUGUAGGUCUCAUCUCCCAGUCUGGGUGGAAGUCAUAAUGAAGGCAUCACCAUUGAGGAAUGUCUUCAUAUUCUCUCCAUGGCCCUCUGCAUAUCAAUUAAUUGUUAUCCCCUUUGGUGCCCAGGGUGUUGGAGUUGAAAUGGAUGUCCUACUGCAUUAUAUUCAUGCCCCAGAUGUUUGGAAAUCUAACCAUGUGUUAGAACUUUGAUUUUUUUUUAUUAACUCUGCAAGCUUUUAAUUUCUUUCUCAGUAUUGGAAACCCCCUGCAAU